rnacentral:rRNA from 1 species
GACGUAGGUGGCGAACGUUAUCCGGAAUUAUUGGGCGUAAAGAGCUCGUAGGCGGUUUGUCGCGUCUGCUGUGAAAACUCGGGGCUUAACUCCGGGCCUGCAGUGGGUACGGGCAGACUAGAGUGCGGUAGGGGAGACUGGAAUUCCUGGUGUAGCGGUGAAAUGCGCAGAUAUCAGGAGGAACACCGGUGGCGAAGGCGGGUCUCUGGGCCGUAACUGACGCUGAGGAGCGAAAGCGUGGGGAGUGAACAGG